GAUUAUCGUCGUCGAUUAUCCUCGCCGUCGACCUCCAGUAGCAGUAGCCAUGUCCACGCCUUCUUGUUUUGUUUUGAGACGAUCAUCGUCGAGAUCGAUUCCUGCUCCAUCCCGCUCGUGAUGACACUCUGUUUCGAACCGCAACGCGGCUUUGCUUUCUGCGGUAUCUUCUGCCUUGUUUUUGUUCUGUGCAGUACGGUCAAAAGUAAAAACUCUUGCUGUUCGAUCGACCGAGGCCUGAGUUGGCCGAGCUUUUCGCUCUGCGGUGCAUCGCCUCUGCCCCUGUUGCCAAACAUUUCCAUGUUGAUCCUCUGGCAGCGCUGCUUUUUUGCAUGCGGUUUGCGUAGCCUUCCUCAAAUCAAAUGGAUCGCCUAUUGGCACUGUUUCUUUUCUGGUUGCGCACGUCGUCACCUCCUACUACUUUUUCCAGUUUUAUUUACUUUUGAUGAAGUACGGAUGAAUCGGCUGGUAAUUAACUUUGGUUGCUGUGGAUUUUGGACGCAGGACCCGCUCGCCCGCCCACCAUCGUCAGCAGCCCAGCAUCCCCGCCACAGUCGCCUCCUCCUCGCCGCAUGCAGCCACGUAAUCUCAUUGCCGAUCCAUGUAAUCCCUUCUUGCUCGCCAGACCGCUAGUGCGCACAUGCGCUACAGUUGAUAGGAAUCCGCCGAAAGGGUGCUGCGUGAAUGUAGUUAAAAUCGUUGAGCGGGGUUGUCUGUGCUCAGUGACUGAAGUCCCUGAAGUGAUGCUCUCCGCACUUGACUCAAUUAGGCUUUGGCAGUUUUACGCUAGGUGUGGUGGUACCUUGCCUGUGCCGAGUGAUCAGACAGACUGUGAAGUCUACCGGUCGACCCCGCCCCCACCAGCAAUUCUAUCGCCCCCACCGCCAUCACCGCACAGUCGCUCUCACCACCCUCACCACGCAUGACCACUGCUGCAAAGCCUCAUUCGGUGGCCUCCUCUCUUAGUGAGUCUUGGCAACGCAUCGCGGAUAAGGUGAGGAAUGCGCCCAGGGGGCUGUAUAUCGUGUUAGGCGUCAUCUUGGCCCUUUCUGCAGUCAUUGGGAUUGGAAUCUAUCUGCAGUUACGUAGUCGAGCGUCUACAUCACGUACGGGGUCCUCGGCAGCACCAGCACAGGCGGGGCCCAAAGGAUCACGAGAAGGUGGAGAAGCGAUUAAAGAAACGAACCGACAAGUUGAGAUGUCCGGUGCAGUACUGUCCCGUCGACAGCAAUUCGCAGCGGGCACUAAGGUGCACUCACGCCGUCCUUCCAUGACCGUACAGGCGGCCCCACUAUCUCCACCGGAAGUACCAGUACCGAGUGCCCCUCCGGCGCCCAUAGCUUUAAUGUCAGACUAGAUAGCCCUGUAGUCUAAUUUUCUCCAAGAGGUAAUAGCACCAUGAAUCCAUAAACUUGCAGGGCUGAUGAUUUAGUUCAAAAGUUGCAAAAUGUAAUUGAGGACUCUUACAACUUGACCACUUAUGUGAUGUUUUGGUUCACAGCGAAUCACUGAUCGACAAGUGGCAGUCCAGAGGGUGGACACAACGGCCCCUCCUGUUUCGUUGAUUCAACCCGCACUCCGCCGCCUGCUCCGCUUCCCCGACUUCUACGCGCGCCUCGCCGCCGCCCGCGGCGACCUCUGCCUCUGCGUCAAGUACCAGCUCCCCGGCGAGGACCUCGACGCGCUCGUCUCCGUCACCAACGACGAGGACCUCGAGCACCUCGUCAUCGAGUACGACCGC